rnacentral:rRNA from 1 species
CAAUAAGCGGAGGAAAGAAACUACAAGGAUUCCCCUAGUAACGGCGAGUGAAGCGGGAUGAGCUCAAAUUUAAAAUCUGGCUGGUUUACUAGUCCGAAUUGUAGUUUAAAGAAGCGUUUUCGGUGGCAGCCUGGGUAUAAAUCCUUUGGAAUAGGGUAUCAUAGAGGGUGAGAAUCCCGUCUUUGACUCAGUGAAUGCUACUAUGUGAUACGUUUUCAAAGAGUCGAGUUGUUUGGGAAUGCAGCUCAAAAUGGGUGGUAAAUUUCAUCUAAAGCUAAAUAUUGGCGAGAGACCGAUAGCGAACAAGUACCGUGAGGGAAAGAUGAAAAGAACUUUGAAAAGAGAGUUAAACAGUGCGUGAAAUUGUUGAAAGGGAAACGUUUGACACCAGUCAUGCGGGUGGAAAAUCAGUCUUUUAGAGUAGGGAGUGGUGGAGGUUCGGACCGCAAGGCUGGCCUUUAUCUCAUUUCUGCUCUAAUGGAUGCACUUUUUCAUUUGCAGGUCAACAUCAGUUUCUUCUGCUGGACAAAACUCUAAGAGAAGGUAGCAGCUUAGGCUGUGUUAUAGCUCUGGAGCGAUACAGUGGAGGGGACUGAGGUUUUCGCAGUGUGUGCUCUCGGGCAAGGUUGACUAGGUGCUAUGUGAUCGUUCGGUGUACAAUGCAUGCAUUUUGCGCUGUGUCUUUUGCAUACUCGCCUGGCUCGACUCUUCCACGCUUAGGAUGUUGACUUAAUGGUUUUAAACGACCCGUCUUGAAACACGGACCAAGGAGUCUAACAUAUAUGCAAGUGUUUGGGUGGCAAACCCAUACGCGUAAUGAAAGUGAACGUAGGUGCGAUCCGCAAGGUGCAGCAUCGACCGAUCUUGAUAUUUUUGGAUAGAUUUGAGUAAGAGCAUAUAUGCUGGGACCCGAAAGAUGGUGAACUAUGCCUGAAUAGGGUGAAGCCAGAGGAAACUCUGGUGGAGGCUCGUAGCGAUUCUGACGUGCAAAUCGAUCGUCAAAUUUGGGUAUAGGGGCGAAAGACUAAUCGAACCAUCUAGUAGCUGGUCUGC